GGGCGAGUAGUCUAGUGGCUAUGACACCGCCUUGACGUGGCGGAGGUCGCAGGUUCAAAUCCUGCCUCGCCCACCA
rnacentral:tRNA from 1 species